UGAGUGUGUGUCACCAGUGUGUGUGUGUCACCAGUGUGUGUGUGUGUUUGUGUGUCUCCAGUGUGUGUGUGUGUGUGUGUGUGUGUCUCCAGUGUGUGUGUGUGUGUGUGUGUGUUUCCUGUGUGUGUGUGUGUGUGUCACCAGUGUGUGUGUCACCAGUUUGUGUGUGUGUGUGUGUGUCUCCUGUGUGUGUGUGUCUCCUGUGUGUGUGUGUGUGUGUCACCAGUGUGUGUGUGUGUGUCAGUGUGUGUGUGUCUCCAGUGUGUGUGAGUGUGUGUUUGUGUCCAGUGUGUUUGUGUCCCCAGUGUGUGUGUGUGAGUGUGUGUGUCCAGUGUGUGUGUGUCCAGUGUGUGUGUGUCCAGUGUGUCCUGUGUGUGUGUGUGUUGUGUGUGUGUGUCUCCAGUGUGUGUGAGUGAGUGUCCAUUGUGUGUGUGUCUCCAGUGUGUGUGAGUGUGUGUUUGUGUCCAGUGUGUUUGUGUCCCCAGUGUGUGUGUGUGUGUGUGUGUGUGUGUCUCCAGUGUGUGUGUGUGUGUGUGUUAGUGUCUCCAGUGUGUGUGUGUGUCACCAGUGUGUGUGUGUGUGUGUGUUGUCUGUGUGUGUCUCCAGUGUCUGUGUGUGUGUGUGUUAGUGUCUGUGUGUGUGUGUCACCAGUGUGUGUGUGUCACCAGUGUGUGUGUGUGUCACCAGUGUGUGUGUGUGUGUCACCAGUGUGUGUGUGUGUGUGUUAGUGUCUCCAGUGUGUGUGUGUGUCACCAGUGUGUGUGUGUGUGUCUCCAGUGUGUGUGUGU
ensembl:lncRNA